CCCUCCACACGCGGGCAAACAAAACAAGUUGCCGGUCGCUGCCGCCGGAGGGGGCCGGGCGGGUCACUCACCCUCAUCCUGCUCAGCGGGCUUGGGUCGUCCGGCCGCGGGGUCAGGGAAGACCAGAGGACCACUAGCCCCAGGAAGCUUCCCACCACUAGCAAACUGCGUGGUGAAUUUGUAACCGAAAGGCCCAGGUGAGAUGUGCAAAUAUCACUGGAUUGGAGGAGCUCACUUGGAAAGCCAGUAUUCCUCCUGAGCUAAUGAAAAGAAAGGCUGUCGUCUUAUGCCAAAAGCAAUACCAACCUUGUUCACGGGCUGAGAUCUAGAGUGUGUAAUUCACGAAGUAUGAAUCUGCUGGGUAAUGUGAUAUGAAAAGCGAAUGCACCAUUUCUUGGUGAUGAUUCAGGUCAGCGUUGGGACCCAGGAAUCUCCUGUUAAUCAGUACCCUGG
rnacentral:lncRNA from 1 species